UUUAACCGUUGAAUUAAUUUCGACUUCAAGAAUAAUCUAUUAUAAUGUUUACGAACUGGUCUUGGAACUAAAUCAAGUGCUUGCAAUACAAUUGGUGGUGCCGUUUUCAGUUACAUUUGUGAUGGUCAUUUUUCAUAUUUAUUACGAAGCUGUUACUGCUAGCGACAUUACGAUGCUCAUAUGGUCAGCUACCAUCCUUACAAAAAUUAUGUUAGUUAUUGUGCAAAUAGAAAAAACAGUGCUUUCAGUAAGUAUUUCUAAUUGUUUUCAAUAACUGCACUUGAUAUUUUAGGCAAAUCGUGUCAAACAAACUAUAGUUAAAUCAUCAAUGACUAAAGACAAAUUGGUCAAACGAGAAAUAAACAUGUUCCUUUUGCAGCUUUUACAUCAAAAAAUCAAUAUUUCCGGAGCUAAACUUUUUGUUAUUAAUACGAGGAUGAUUCCAUAUUUUUUUUCGAGAGGAAUACAAUAUUUACUUCUCUUAUACCAAGCCCACUUUAUUGCCAAAAUAAAUAAUUGAUUGCUUAUAGCCCUCCAUAUGGGUCAAAAUAUUUGGCAGGCCAU